UCCCUAGCCCUCUUGGAUGGCACCCAGC
rnacentral:piRNA from 1 species